rnacentral:rRNA from 1 species
UGGGGAAUAUUGGACAAUGGGGGCAACCCUGAUCCAGCCAUGCCGCGUGUGUGAAGAAGGCCUUCGGGUUGUAAAGCACUUUCAUUGGUGAGGAAGGAGGUAAAGCUAAUAUCUUUAUCUAUUGACGUUAACCAAAGAAGAAGCACCGGCUAACUCCGUGCCAGCAGCCGCGGUAAUACGGAGGGUGCGAGCGUUAAUCGGAAUUACUGGGCGUAAAGGGCAUGCAGGCGGUUACAUAAGUCAGGUGUGAAAUCCCCGCGCUUAACGUGGGCAUUGCAUCUGAAACUAUGUAGCUAGAGUUCUGUAGAGGGGGGUAGAAUUCCAGGUGUAGCGGUGAAAUGCGUAGAGAUCUGGAGGAAUACCGAUUGCGAAGGCAGCCCCCUGGACAGUGACUGACGCU